AUUGAACGCUGGCGGCAGGCCUAACACAUGCAAGUCGAGCGGAUGACGGGAGCUUGCUCCUUGAUUCAGCGGCGGACGGGUGAGUAAUGCCUAGGAAUCUGCCUGGUAGUGGGGGACAACGUUUCGAAAGGAACGCUAAUACCGCAUACGUCCUACGGGAGAAAGCAGGGGACCUUCGGGCCUUGCGCUAUCAGAUGAGCCUAGGUCGGAUUAGCUAGUUGGUGGGGUAAUGGCUCACCAAGGCGACGAUCCGUAACUGGUCUGAGAGGAUGAUCAGUCACACUGGAACUGAGACACGGUCCAGACUCCUACGGGAGGCAGCAGUGGGGAAUAUUGGACAAUGGGCGAAAGCCUGAUCCAGCCAUGCCGCGUGUGUGAAGAAGGUCUUCGGAUUGUAAAGCACUUUAAGUUGGGAGGAAGGGCAGUAAGCUAAUACCUUGCUGUUUUGACGUUACCGACAGAAUAAGCACCGGCUAACUCUGUGCCAGCCGCCGCCGUAAAAC
rnacentral:rRNA from 1 species